AGUGAACGCUGGCGGUAGGCCUAACACAUGCAAGUCGAACGGCAGCACAGUAAGAGCUUGCUCUUACGGGUGGCGAGUGGCGGACGGGUGAGGAAUACAUCGGAAUCUACUUUUUCGUGGGGGAUAACGUAGGGAAACUUACGCUAAUACCGCAUACGACCUACGGGUGAAAGCAGGGGACCUUCGGACCUUGCGCGAUUGAAUGAGCCGAUGUCGGAUUAGCUAGUUGGCGGGGUAAAGGCCCACCAAGGCGACGAUCCUUAGCUGGUCUGAGGGGAUGAUCAGCCACACUAGCACUGCGACACGGUCCAGACUCCUACGGGAGGCAGCAGUGGGGAAUAUUGGACAAUGGGCGCAAGCCUGAUCCAGCCAUACCCCGUGGGUGAAGAAGUCCUUCGGCUUGUCAAGCCCUUUUGUUGGGAAAGAAAAGCAGCAGGUUAAUACCCCGCUGUUCUGACGGUACCCAAAGAAUAAGCACCGGCUAACUUCGUG
rnacentral:rRNA from 1 species